UACGUGAGGUGCAAGCGUUAAUCGGAAUUACUGGGCGUAAAGCGCACGUAGGCGGCUUUCUAAGUCGGGGGUGAAAUCCUGGAGCUCAACUCCAGAACUGCCUUCGAUACUGGAGAGCUUGAGUCCGGGAGAGGUGAGUGGAACUGCGAGUGUAGAGGUGAAAUUCGUAGAUAUUCGCAAGAACACCAGUGGCGAAGGCGGCUCACUGGCCCGGUACUGACGCUGAGGUGCGAAAGCGUGGGGAGCAAACAGG
rnacentral:rRNA from 1 species